ACUCCUACGGGAGGCAGCAGUGGGGAAUAUUGGACAAUGGGCGAAAGCCUGAUCCAGCCAUGCCGCGUGUGUGAAGAAGGUCUUCGGAUUGUAAAGCACUUUAAGUUGGGAGGAAGGGUUGUAGAUUAAUACUCUGCAAUUUUGACGUUACCGACAGAAUAAGCACCGGCUAACUCUGUGCUAGCAGCCGCGGUAAUACAGAGGGUGCAAGCGUUAAUCGGAAUUACUGGGCGUAAAGCGCGCGUAGGUGGUUCGUUAAGUUGGAUGUGAAAUCCCCGGGGCUCAACCUGGGAACUGCAUCCAAAACUGGCGAGCUAGAGUAUGGUAGAGGGUGGUGGAAUUUCCUGUGUAGCGGUGAAAUGCGUAGAUAUAGGAAGGAACACCAGUGGCGAAGGCGACCACCUGGACUGAUACUGACACUGAGGUGCGAAAGCGUGGGGAGCGAAACAGGAUUAGAUACCCUGGUAGGUCAGUC
rnacentral:rRNA from 1 species